rnacentral:rRNA from 1 species
UGGACCAAAAGUCUGAUCCAGCAMUUCUGUGUGCUUGAUGAAGGCCUUCGGGUUGUAAAGAGCUUUAAGUAGGGAARAAGAAAGUGACGGUACCUACAGAAUAAGCGACGGCUAAAUACGUGCCAGCAGCCGCGGUAAUA